rnacentral:rRNA from 1 species
GCGUUGUCCGGAUUUAUUGGGCGUAAAGAGCGCGUAGGCGGCCCGGAAAGUCGGUUGUGAAAACCUGGGGCUCAACCCCAGGCCUGCAUCCGAUACUCCCGGGCUCGAGGCAGGUAGGGGAGAGUGGAAUUCCUGGUGUAGCGGUGGAAUGCGCAGAUAUCAGGAGGAACACCGGUGGCGAAGGCGGCUCUCUGGGCCUGUCCUGACGCUGAGGCGCGAAAGCUAG